GGGGUCUCGGGGGGGGGGAAUGGGGGUCUUGGGGGGGAAAUGGGGGUCUGGGGGGGGGAACCCCCGAUGUCCCCAAAGAUCCCUGAGUGCCUCCACGGCCCCCCAGAAUCCCCCCAGGACCCCCAAUUCCCCCCCAUUGCACACUGGGAUCCCCUCCCCUCCCCACCCCCCCUUAAAGGGCCCGCGCCCCUCUGGUGGGGGGGACGUGGGAAAGCCCUUAAAGGGCCCGCGCCCCGCGGUGGCACGUGGAGGGGGGACACGCUUCUCCAAAAGGCUCCGCUGACAUCACGCGGGGGCGGCCCACCCGUGACGUCACCCGGGGGAACCCGGCUGUCCCCGCACCCCCUAACCCCGCCCCCCCCAAUGUCGCCGUCACUGCGGUGUCACCUCCCCCCCGCUAUAACGGCCCCCGGGGCCACACCGGCCCCAUUUGCAACUCGCGACGGAGACAUGCGGCCCCACAGAGGUACGCGGGCCCUUUAAGAGAGCGGGGAGUGGGACUGUGGCCCUUUAAGAGAGCAGGAAGGGGAAUGCGGGCCCUUUAAGAGAGCUGGGGGGGGGGUACUGGCCCUUUAAGGGCGGAGGGAGGAGGUCGCUGGCCCUUUAAGAGAGUUGGGAAUGGGCGGCCGGCUCUUUAAGAGCGGCUUGAGCGGGGUGCUGGCCCUUUAAGAGAGAUGGAGCUGGAAAUGGGACGCUGGUCCUUUAAGAGACUUGGCAAUUCGGAGCUGGCCCUUUAAGGGAACUGGGAGGGGAUGCUGUCCCUUUAAGAGAGAUGGGAAUGGGGCGCUGGCCCUUUAAGGGAGGGGGGGGGAAUGGGCCGCUGGCCCUUUAAGAGAGACUUUAAGGAGGGCUCUGUCCCUUUAAGGUCCCCCCGCGGGGGUUUCCCCACGUGCGGCCGUGGGAGGAGGGAGGGGGGGAAUCCCCGCAGGGCAUCCCCGUGACGUCACAGCGCGGAGGCGGGGGGAUCCCGGUGACGUCACAGCGGAGGGUUCCCCCACCCACGCGUGUCCCCCCUCC
ensembl:lncRNA